CCCUUAGAUGUUCUGGGCCGCACGCGCGCUACACUGAUGCAUUCAACGAGUCUAAAACCUGGUCUGAUAGGGCUGGGUAAUCUUUUGAAAGUGCAUCGUGAUUGGGAUAGAUGAUUGCAAUUCUUCAUCUUCAACGAGGAAUGCCUAGUAAACGCAAGUCAUCAGCUUGCAUUGAUUACGUCCCUGCCCUUUGUACACACCGCCCGUCGCUACUACCGAUUGAAUGGUUUAGUGAGAUCUUCGGAUUGGCGCCUACGCGGCUUCUCUGAGGCCACGCUGGAUGCCGAAAAGUUGCUCAAACUGUAUCAUUUAGAGGAAGUAAAAGUCGUAACA
rnacentral:rRNA from 1 species